GGGGAUGUAGUUCAGUGAUAGAGCGCAUGCUUUGCAUGUAUGAGGCCCUGGGUUCAAUCCCUGGCAUCCUCA